GAUGAACGCUGGCGGCGUGCCUAAUACAUGCAAGUCGAGCGAACGGACGAGAAGCUUGCUUCUCUGAUGUUAGCGGCGGACGGGUGAGUAACACGUGGAUAACCUACCUAUAAGACUGGGAUAACUUCGGGAAACCGGAGCUAAUACCGGAUAAUAUUUUGAACCGCAUGGUUCAAAAGUGAAAGACGGUCUUGCUGUCACUUAUAGAUGGAUCCGCGCUGCAUUAGCUAGUUGGUAAGGUAACGGCUUACCAAGGCAACGAUGCAUAGCCGACCUGAGAGGGUGAUCGGCCACACUGGAACUGAGACACGGUCCAGACUCCUACGGGAGGCAGCAGUAGGGAAUCUUCCGCAAUGGGCGAAAGCCUGACGGAGCAACGCCGCGUGAGCGAUGAAGGUCUUCGGAUCGUAAAACUCUGUUAUUAGUGAAGAACAUAUGUGUAAGUAACUGUGCACAUCUUGACGGUACCUAAUCAGAAAGCCACGGCUAACUACGUG
rnacentral:rRNA from 1 species